GCUAUCUAUCUUGUUUUUCAGGGGUCUGGAAUAACAGGAGCCUGAUGGUUGCAUCAGUAGAGUUGACCACUUCUCAGUAUUGCGAGAUGCAUCUUACAUGGUCAAGAAGAUAAUUCCUAUUCUGAACUACUUGCUCGUGUUGAUCAGUUUUGCCUAGUCCCAGUACCAUACAAAGAUGUUCAGCUGGAUAUAAACAUUUCUCCACGUCUCUCUUCUGAAUACAUAAGUUAUCUGGAAAAUCCUGUUUGAGUUGCUCAAUGAAGUGGCAAAAGCUGCAGAGAAAGAUCUAUGGAAAAUCCUGUUGAGUUGCUCAAUGAAGGCUUUUGCGAAUCACUUGAAGCGUUAGUACUUUUGUGAAUGAUUUUGUAAAGUGUUUGCAAAUAUGUGCAAAACAUAAUAACAUGUGUAGGUUUUGUGAAUGA